rnacentral:rRNA from 1 species
AUUGAACGCUGGCGGCAGGCUUAACACAUGCAAGUCGAGCGAGCGGCGGACGGGUGAGUAAUGUAUGGGGACUGCCCGAUCGAGGGGGAUAACUACUGGAAACGGUAGCUAAUACCGCAUACUAUCGGAUAACCCAUAUGGGAUUAGCUAGUAGGUGGGGUAAUGGGUCACCUAGGCGAGGAUCAGUAGCCUGACUGAGAGGUGGAUCGGCCUCCUUGGAACUGAGCCACGGCCCAGACUCCAACGGAGGCAGCAGUGGGGAAUAUUGUACAAUGGGCGAAAGCCUUAUCCAGCCAUGCCGCGUGUGUGAAGAAGGUCUUCGGAUUGUAAAGCACUUUAAGUUGGGAGGCGUUACCAACAGAAUAAGCACCGGCUAACUUCGUGCCAGCAGCCGCGGUAAUAC